UUUAUAUGAGAGUUUGAUCCUGGCUCAGGAUGAACGCCGGCGGUGUGCCUAAUACAUGCAAGUCGUACGCACUGGCCCAACUGAUUGAUGGUGCUUGCACCGGAUUGACGAUGGAUCACCAGUGAGUGGCGGACGGGUGAGUAACACGUAGGUAACCUGCCCCGGAGCGGGGGAUAACAUUUGGAAACAGAUGCUAAUACCGCAUAACAACAAAAGCCACAUGGCUUUUGUUUGAAAG
rnacentral:rRNA from 1 species